UUAAGCGACUAAGCGUACACGGUGGAUGCCCUGGCAGUCAGAGGCGAUGAAGGACGUGCUAAUCUGCGAAAAGCGCCGGCGAGGUGAUAUGAACCUUUGACCCGGCGAUGUCCGAAUGGGGAAACCCAGUGUGUUUCGACACACUAUCGUUAACUGAAUACAUAGGUUAACGAGGCGAACCGGGGGAACUGAAACAUCUAAGUACCCCGAGGAAAAGAAAUCAACCGAGAUUCCCCCAGUAGCGGCGAGCGAAUGGGGAGCAGCCCAGAGUCUGAAUCAGCUUGUGUGUUAGUGGAACGGUCUGGAAAGUCCGGCGAUACAGGGUGACAGCCCCGUACACGAAAAUGCACAGGUUGUGAACUCGAAGAGUAGGGCGGGACACGUGGUAUCCUGUCUGAAUAUGGGGGGACCAUCCUCCAAGGCUAAAUACUCCUGACUGACCGAUAGUGAACCAGUACCGUGAGGGAAAGGCGAAAAGAACCCCGGCGAGGGGAGUGAAAAAGAACCUGAAACCGUGUACGUACAAGCAGUGGGAGCACCUUCGUGGUGUGACUGCGUACCUUUUGUAUAAUGGGUCAGCGACUUAUAUUCUGUAGCAAGGUUAACCGUAUAGGGGAGCCGAAGGGAAACCGAGUCUUAACUGGGCGUUAAGUUGCAGGGUAUAGACCCGAAACCCGGUGAUCUAGCCAUGGGCAGGUUGAAGGUUGGGUAACACUAACUGGAGGACCGAACCGACUAAUGUUGAAAAAUUAGCGGAUGACUUGUGGCUGGGGGUGAAAGGCCAAUCAAACCGGGAGAUAGCUGGUUCUCCCCGAAAGCUAUUUAGGUAGCGCCUCGUGAACUCAUCUUCGGGGGUAGAGCACUGUUUCGGCUAGGGGGCCAUCCCGGCUUACCAACCCGAUGCAAACUACGAAUACCGAAGAAUGUUAUCACGGGAGACACACGGCGGGUGCUAACGUCCGUCGUGAAGAGGGAAACAACCCAGACCGCCAGCUAAGGUCCCAAAGUCAUGGUUAAGUGGGAAACGAUGUGGGAAGGCACAGACAGCCAGGAUGUUGGCUUAGAAGCAGCCAUCAUUUAAAGAAAGCGUAAUAGCUCACUGGUCGAGUCGGCCUGCGCGGAAGAUGUAACGGGGCUAAACCAUGCACCGAAGCUGCGGCAGCGACGCUUAUGCGUUGUUGGGUAGGGGAGCGUUCUGUAAGCCGUUGAAGGUGGCCUGUGAGGGUUGCUGGAGGUAUCAGAAGUGCGAAUGCUGACAUAAGUAACGAUAAAGCGGGUGAAAAGCCCGCUCGCCGGAAGACCAAGGGUUCCUGUCCAACGUUAAUCGGGGCAGGGUGAGUCGACCCCUAAGGCGAGGCCGAAAGGCGUAGUCGAUGGGAAACAGGUUAAUAUUCCUGUACUUGGUGUUACUGCGAAGGGGGGACGGAGAAGGCUAUGUUAGCCGGGCGACGGUUGUCCCGGUUUAAGCAUGUAGGCGGAGGUUCCAGGUAAAUCCGGUACCUUAUUAACGCUGAGGUGUGAUGACGAGGCACUACGGUGCUGAAGUAACAAAUGCCCUGCUUCCAGGAAAAGCCUCUAAGCAUCAGGUAACAUCAAAUCGUACCCCAAACCGACACAGGUGGUCAGGUAGAGAAUACCAAGGCGCUUGAGAGAACUCGGGUGAAGGAACUAGGCAAAAUGGUGCCGUAACUUCGGGAGAAGGCACGCUGAUAUGUAGGUGAAGCCCCUGCGGGUGGAGCUGAAAUCAGUCGAAGAUACCAGCUGGCUGCAACUGUUUAUUAAAAACACAGCACUGUGCAAACACGAAAGUGGACGUAUACGGUGUGACGCCUGCCCGGUGCCGGAAGGUUAAUUGAUGGGGUUAGCGGUAACGCGAAGCUCUUGAUCGAAGCCCCGGUAAACGGCGGCCGUAACUAUAACGGUCCUAAGGUAGCGAAAUUCCUUGUCGGGUAAGUUCCGACCUGCACGAAUGGCGUAAUGAUGGCCAGGCUGUCUCCACCCGAGACUCAGUGAAAUUGAACUCGCUGUGAAGAUGCAGUGUACCCGCGGCAAGACGGAAAGACCCCGUGAACCUUUACUAUAGCUUGACACUGAACACUGGUCCUUGAUGUGUAGGAUAGGUGGGAGGCUUUGAAGCGUGGACGCCAGUCUGCGUGGAGCCGACCUUGAAAUACCACCCUUUAAUGGCUGGUGUUCUAACGUAGACCCGUAAUCCGGGUUGCGGACAGUGUCUGGUGGGUAGUUUGACUGGGGCGGUCUCCUCCCAAAGAGUAACGGAGGAGCACGAAGGUUAGCUAAUCCUGGUCGGACAUCAGGAGGUUAGUGCAAUGGCAUAAGCUAGCUUGACUGCGAGAGUGACGGCUCGAGCAGGUGCGAAAGCAGGUCAUAGUGAUCCGGUGGUUCUGAAUGGAAGGGCCAUCGCUCAACGGAUAAAAGGUACUCCGGGGAUAACAGGCUGAUACCGCCCAAGAGUUCAUAUCGACGGCGGUGUUUGGCACCUCGAUGUCGGCUCAUCACAUCCUGGGGCUGAAGUAGGUCCCAAGGGUAUGGCUGUUCGCCAUUUAAAGUGGUACGCGAGCUGGGUUUAGAACGUCGUGAGACAGUUCGGUCCCUAUCUGCCGUGGGCGCUGGAGAAUUGAGGGGGGCUGCUCCUAGUACGAGAGGACCGGAGUGGACGCAUCACUGGUGUUCGGGUUGUCAUGCCAAUGGCAUUGCCCGGUAGCUAAAUGCGGAAGAGAUAAGUGCUGAAAGCAUCUAAGCACGAAACUUGCCCCGAGAUGAGUUCUCCCUGACUCCUUGAGAGUCCUGAAGGAACGUUGAAGACGACGACGUUGAUAGGUCGGGUGUGUAAGCGUAGCGAUACGUUGAGCUAACCGAUACUAAUGAACCGUGAGGCUUAACCU
rnacentral:rRNA from 1 species